CUGACAUGUCGGGACUUGAAGAAAUGGAAUUUACGAUAAGAGGGGACUUGGAAGAGAUGCCGCAUUCCUGUUUCUUUUUGUUGAAUACACUGGAAAAAUGCCAGUUCGGUGCAAUUAUCUUGAAAAUAAUAGAAAACCAACACACAUAUUUGAUUUCAUUAAACCUCAGGCAUUUUGGAGCUCUUGCUAAAGUGGCAAUUUACAAAUAUGUGAGAGAAAAAUGAAGAACUGAAAGAACCACAAUCUUAGUAUAAAAGAAUUAAUACUUUUUUUAAUGUUGCCCUUUUACUCAUAUAAAAUAAAUAUGGCUGACUCUGUACUGUAGUACACAGGGCACUUUUUUUUUAAAGGGGAACUCCAAACCAAAGUUUGUUAAAGAGCCCCACACAGCACAGAAACCCCUGAUAUACCCUAAUAUCUCUGUAAUUUGUCCCUUCAAAG